UGAGGAAUAUUGCUCAAUGGACGCAAGUCUGAAGCAGCGACGCCGCGUGGGUGAAGAAGGUCUUCGGAUCGUAAAGCCCUUUUCUGGGAGACGAGAUAGGACGGUAACCCAGGAAUAAGUGUCGGCUAACUACGUGCCAGCAGCCGCGGUAAAACGUAGGACGCAAGCGUUAUCCGGAAUUACUGGGCGUAAAGCGCGUGCAGGCGGGUCAGCAAGUCAUGCGUGAGAGCUCCUGGCUAAACUGGGAGAGGUCGGAUGAGACUGCUGGUCUGGAGUAUGUCAGAGGCGUGUGGAAUUCCGCGUGUAGUGGUGAAAUGCGUAGAGAUGCGGAGGAACACCAGUGGCGAAGGCGGCACGCGUGGGGCAUAACUGACGCUGAGGCGCGAAGCAUGGGGAGCGAACGGGAUUAGAAACCCGGUAGUCCAUGCGUAACGAUGUACACUAGACGUUCGGGCUACAUU
rnacentral:rRNA from 1 species